rnacentral:rRNA from 1 species
AACUAACCAAGGAUUCCCCUAGUAACUGCGAGUGAAGAGGGAAAAGCUCAAAUUUGAAAUCUCACUGGUUUACCAGUGCGAAAUUGUAGGUUUAGAGAAGUGUUUUCGGGGGCAGCUCGGGUAUAAGUCCUUUGGAAUGAGGCGUCAUAGAGGGUGAGAAUCCCGUAUAUGAUCCGAUGUCUGCUCCUAUGUGAUACACUUUCCAAGAGUCAGGUAGUUUGGGAUUGCUGCCUAAAAUGGGUGGUAAAUACCAUCUAAAGCUAAAUAUUGGCGAGAGACCGAUAGCGAACAAGUACCGUGAGGGAAAGAUGAAAAGAACUUUGAAAAGAGAGUUAAACAGUACGUGAAAUUGCCAAAAGGGAAACGCUUGUAACCAGUAUUGUGUGCAGGUAAUCAACUUUACUUACCGAAAGGGACAGUGGAGUGCACUUGCCUGUACACAAGUCAGCAUCAGUUUGAACUCGAGGGAAAUGUCCAUAGGAAGGUGACUUGGAUUCGUUCAAGUGUUAUAGCCUGUGGUCGAGCCUUGAUUUAGACUGAGGUCUAUAGUGUUAUUUGGGUUGCUGGUCGCCUGUUGAAACUUGGCUGCAGACAGCUUGCUGACUGUGAUCAAACGUAGAUAGCCCGGCUAGUGUAUCACACCAACACUUUGGAUGCUG